rnacentral:rRNA from 1 species
AUUGAACGCUGGCGGCAGGCCUAACACAUGCAAGUCGAGCGGAGCGGCGGACGGGUGAUUAAUGCCUAGGAAUCUGCCUGGUAGUGGGGGAUCACGUACGGAAACGGGCGCUACUACCGCAUGCUAUCAGCUGAGCCUAGGUCUGAUUAGCUAGCGUGUGGGGUAAAGGCCUACCAAGGCGACGAUCCGUAACUGGCCUGAGAGGAUGAUCAGUCACACGGGAACUGAGACACGGCCCAGAAGCCUACGGGAGGCAGCAGUGGGGAAGAUUGGACAAUGGGCGAAAGCCUGAUCCAGCCAUGCCGCGUGUGUGAAGAAGGUCUUCGGAUUGUAAAGCACUGUAAGUUGGGAGGCGUUACCAACAGAAUAAGCACCGGCUAACUUCGUGCCAGCAGCCGCGGUAAUAC